AUACGGAGGGUGCAAGCGUUAAUCGGAAUUACUGGGCGUAAAGCGCACGCAGGCGGUCUGUUAAGUCAGAUGUGAAAUCCCCGGGCUUAACCUGGGAACUGCAUUUGAAACUGGCAGGCUUGAGUCUCGUAGAGGGGGGUAGAAUUCCAGGUGUAGCGGUGAAAUGCGUAGAGAUCUGGAGGAAUACCGGUGGCGAAGGCGGCCCCCUGGACGAAGACUGACGCUCAGGUGCGAAAGCGUGGGGAGCAAACAGGAUUAGAUACCCUGGUAGUCCACGCCGUAAACGAUGUCGACUUGGAGGUUGUUCCCUUGAGGAGUGGCUUCCGGAGCUAACGCGUUAAGUCGACCGCCUGGGGAGUACGGCCGCAAGGUUAAA
rnacentral:rRNA from 1 species